rnacentral:rRNA from 1 species
GACGAACGCUGGCGGCGUGCUUAACACAUGCAAGUCGAACGGAGUGGCGAACGGGUGAGUAACACGGGGGUGAUCUGCCUUGCACUUCGGGGUAAGCUUGGGAAACUGGGUCUAAUACCGGAACGUGCAAGAGGAGCUCGCAGCCUAUCAGCUUGUUGGGGGGGUAAUGGCCUACCAAGGCGUCGACGGGUAGCCGGCCUGAGAGGGUGUACGGCCACAUUGGGACUGAGAUACGGCCCAGACUCUGACGGGAGGCAGCAGUGGGGAAUAUUGCACAAUGGGCGGAAGCCUGAUGCAGCGACGCAGCGUGGGGGAUGAAGGCCUUCGGGUUGUAAACUCCUUUCGACAGGGACGCGGUACCUGGAUAAGAAGCACCGGCUAACUACGUGCCAGCAGCCGCGGUAAUUC